rnacentral:rRNA from 1 species
AGUACGUAGUCGUUGACCCGAAACCGGGUGAUCUACCCAUGUCCAGGAUGAAGUUCCGGUAACACGGAAUGGAGGUCCGAACCUGUUGGUGUUGAAAAACCAUAGGAUGAGGUGUGGGUAGGGGUGAAAUGCCAAUCGAACCCGGAGAUAGCUGGUUCUCCCCGAAAUAGCUUUAGGGCUAGCCUCGGAUCAAGAGUCAUGGAGGUAGAGCACUGAUUGGGCUAGGGGCCCC